CAGGGAGACAACAAAAUGUUUAAUAUUAUUAUUUUGUCACCUUAGGUCGAUCGGUAUCUCACGUUCUUAAUUUGUUAAGAAUUUCAUUUCCUAAGUUUUUCUAGGUCACACCCAUUAUUUUUCCUGGGCCAUUAGCUCAGGUGGUUAGAGCGCACCCCUGAUAAGGGUGAGGUCCCUGGUUCAAGUCCAGGAUGGCCCAUAUCUCUAUGUUGGGGGUAUAGCUCAGUUGGUAGAGCGCCUGCUUUGCAAGCAGGAUGUCAGCGGUUCGAGUCCGCUUACCUCCACUGAUUACCACCUCUUCCAUAACCGGUAGAAAGGAAAUGUUUUGAGUUGUGAUCAUUAUUCUGAACGAAUCUAGCUUCCUAAUGAAAUCAUUAAGAUGCUGGACUCAUUGAAUUAAUUUCAUUGUUUUCAGAGAACCUUGACAACUGCAUAGAUUAUUUUUAAAGACAAUAAGCAUCUUUAAUGAUGCAGAUUUAUUAUUUGUGCGAAUGCAUUAAUAACAAUUCUAUUAAGCUGAUGCUUCAAUUUUUGAAGUUAUU
rnacentral:tRNA from 1 species